GACGAACGCUGGCGGCGUGCUUAACACAUGCAAGUCGAGCGGUAAGGCCCUUUCGGGGGUACACGAGCGGCGAACGGGUGAGUAACACGUGGGUGACCUGCCUCUAGCUCUGGGAUAAGCCUGGGAAGCUGGGUCUAAUACCGGAUAUGACCUCGCGGUGCAUGUUGCGGGGUGGAAAGCCUUGUGCGGCUAGGGAUGGGCCCGCGGCCUAUCAGCUUGUUGGUGGGGUGAUGGCCUACCAAGGCGACGACGGGUAGCCGGCCUGAGAGGGCGACCGGCCACACUGGGACUGAGACACGGCCCAGACUCCUACGGGAGGCAGCAGUGGGGAAUCUUGCGCAAUGGGCGAAAGCCUGACGCAGCGACGCCGCGUGAGGGAUGACGGCCU
rnacentral:rRNA from 1 species